UACAGAGGUCUCAAGCGUUGUUCGGAUUCAUUGGGCGUAAAGGGUGCGUAGGUGGCGUCGUAAGUCAGGUGUGAAAUCUCGGGGCUUAACUCCGAAACUGCAUUCGAUACUGCCGUGCUUGAGGACUGGAGAGGUGACUGGAAUUCAUGGUGUAGCAGUGAAAUGCGUAGAGAUCAUGAGGAAGACCAGUGGCGAAGGCGGGUCUCUGGACAGUUCCUGACACUGAGACACGAAGGCCAGGGGAGCAAACGGG
rnacentral:rRNA from 1 species